rnacentral:rRNA from 1 species
GACGAACGCUGGCGGCGUGCUUAACACAUGCAAGUCGAACGGAAAGGCCCUGCUUUUGUGGGGUGCUCGAGUGGCGAACGGGUGAGUAACACGUGAGUAACCUGCCCUUGACUUUGGGAUAACUUCAGGAAACUGGGGCUAAUACCGGAUAGGAGCUCCUGCUGCAUGGUGGGGGUUGGAAAGUUUCGGCGGUUGGGGAUGGACUCGCGGCUUAUCAGCUUGUUGGUGGGGUAGUGGCUUACCAAGGCUUUGACGGGUAGCCGGCCUGGGAGGGUGAACGGCCACAUUGGGACUGAGGUAAGGCCCAGACUCCUACGGGAGGCAGCAGGGGGGAAUAUUGCACAAUGGGCGGAAGCCUGAUGCAGCAACGCCGCGUGCGGGAUGACGGCCUUCGGGUUGUAAACCGCUUUCGCCUGUGACGAAGCGGGAGUGACGGUAAUGGGUAAAGAAGCACCGGCUAACUACGUG